rnacentral:rRNA from 1 species
AAGUCGAACGAAGUAGCAAUACUUAGUGGCAGACGGGUGAGUAACAUGUAGGUAUCUACCCUUUGGCCUGGAAUAACACGAGGAAACUUGUGCUAAUACCGGAUAAGUCUUUACGGAGAAAGCUUUAUGCACCAUUGGAUGAGCCUGCACUUGAUUAGUUUGUUGGUGGGGUAAUGGCCUACCAAGACUGUGAUCAAUAGCUGAUUUGAGAGGAUGAUCAGCCACAUUGGGACUGAGACACGGCCCAAACUCCUACGGGAGGCAGCAGUGGGGAAUCUUGCACAAUGGAGGAAACUCUGAUGCAGCGAUGCCGCGUGAGUGAAGAAGGCCCUUGGGUUGUAAAGCUCUUUCGUCGGGGAAGAAAAUGACUGUACCCGAAUAAGAAGGUCCGGCUAACUUCGUGCCAGCAGCCGCGGUAAUACGAAGGGACCUAGCGUAGUUCGGAAUUACUGCGCUUAAAGAGUUCGUACGUGGUUGAAAAAGUUAGUGGUGAAAUCCCAGAGCUUAACUCUGGAACUGCCAUUAAAACUUUU